UACAGAGGUCCCAAGCGUUGUUCGGAUUCACUGGGCGUAAAGGGCGCGUAGGCGGUGCUAUAAGUCUGUGGUGAAAUCUCUGGGCUCAACUCAGAGUCUGCCAUAGAAACUGUAGUGCUAGAGUACUGGAGAGGAGAUUGGAAUUUACGGUGUAGCAGUGAAAUGCGUAGAUAUCGUAAGGAAGACCAGUGGCGAAGGCGAAUCUCUGGACAGUUACUGACGCUGAGGCACGAAGGCCAGGGGAGCAAACGGG
rnacentral:rRNA from 1 species